rnacentral:rRNA from 1 species
AGAGUUUGAUCCUGGCUCAGAGCGAACGCUGGCGGCAGGCUUAACACAUGCAAGUCGAGCGGGCAUAGCAAUAUGUCAGCGGCAGACGGGUGAGUAACGCGUGGGAACGUACCUUUUGGUUCGGAACAACACAGGGAAACUUGUGCUAAUACCGGAUAAGCCCUUACGGGGAAAGAUUUAUCGCCGAAAGAUCGGCCCGCGUCUGAUUAGCUAGUUGGUGAGGUAAUGGCUCACCAAGGCGACGAUCAGUAGCUGGUCUGAGAGGAUGAUCAGCCACAUUGGGACUGAGACACGGCCCAAACUCCUACGGGAGGCAGCAGUGGGGAAUAUUGGACAAUGGGCGCAAGCCUGAUCCAGCCAUGCCGCGUGAGUGAUGAAGGCCCUAGGGUUGUAAAGCUCUUUUGUGCGGGAAGAUAAUGACGGUACCGCAAGAAUAAGCCCCGGCUAACUUCGUGCCAGCAGCCGCGGUAAUACGAAGGGGGCUAGCGUUGCUCGGAAUCACUGGGCGUAAAGGGUGCGUAGGCGGGUCUUUAAGUCAGGGGUGAAAUCCUGGAGCUCAACUCCAGAACUGCCUUUGAUACUGAAGAUCUUGAGUUCGGGAGAGGUGAGUGGAACUGCGAGUGUAGAGGUGAAAUUCGUAGAUAUUCGCAAGAACACCAGUGGCGAAGGCGGCUCACUGGCCCGAUACUAACGCUGAGGCACGAAAGCGUGGGGAGCAAACAGGAUUAGAUACCCUGGUAGUCCAA